AGGAGAAUUGUUUUGGGUGACGUAACCCUAGUCUAUUAUUUAUAAUUUGUGUGCUAUCUAACACAAAUUGGUCCUUUCUUUAUUUUGGAUCAGGAGAAUUGUUUUGGGUGACGUAACCCUAGUCUAUUAUUUAUAAUUUGUGUGCUAUCUAACACAAAUUGGUCCUUUCUUUAUUUUGGAUCAGAUCCUUUCCCUGAAUGCAAAGUUUACUGGAAGUUCGCAUGAUGCGUAUGUCAUUAGACAAUCAGGGAUAUGGCACAGAUUAAGAUCAAGUCAACGAGCAGACAUGUGGUUAUUGGGAGACCGUGGAUAUCCUUGCACCCCCUGGCUCAUGACUCCUUACCGUAAUCCCAGGCCAGGACCACAGACGGCAUUUAACUCCGCGCUUACUGCCACUAGGCAGCUGGUGGAGCGCACAAUUGGGGUCCUUAAAGGGCGGUUUCGUGUGCUCCACCGCACUGGUGGCGACAUCAUGUAUUCGCCGGAGAUGGCAAGUAAACUAGUGGUUCUGUGCGCUAUACUACACAAUAUCGCGGUAAGGAGUAGCGUAGAGCUUCCUCAGACAGAGGAAUUGCCUGAUGAGGAGCCAGGGGUUGUUCGACACUUCGGUGGGGGGAGUGUUACACGGAGGGGGAGCCAAGUCAGGGCAAGCAUUGUUGCGGAAUAUUUCAGGUAUAGUGUUUUUAAAUUAUCUUUUUUAACCAAAUUAAAAGCACAGUAUGCUUAUGUAUUAUUUGUAAUGUUGACAUUUUGUUUGAUAUUGUAAGGUCAUUGUGUAAUGCUUUUGGUGUGUUGGAAUGUGUAUUAUUUUUUAUACUAAAAAUCCGUUAACACG